rnacentral:tRNA from 1 species
GAUGAAGUGCCUAAAUGAAGGAUUACUGUGAUAGAGUAAAUCAUGUAAUUUAAAUUACCAUCAUUA